rnacentral:rRNA from 1 species
UGGCGGACGGGUGAGUAAUGUAUGGGAAACUGCCUGAUGGAGGGGGAUAACUACUGGAAACGGUAGCUAAUACCGCAUAACGUCGCAAGACCAAAGAGGGGGACCUUCGGGCCUCUUGCCAUCAGAUGUGCCCAGAUGGGAUUAGCUAGUAGGUGGGGUAACGGCUCACCUAGGCGACGAUCCCUAGCUGGUCUGAGAGGAUGACCAGCCACACUGGAACUGAGACACGGUCCAG